UAGGGAAUCUUCCGCAAUGGGCGAAAGCCUGACGGAGCAACGCCGCGUGAGUGAUGAAGGUCUUCGGAUCGUAAAACUCUGUUAUUAGGGAAGAACAAAUGUGUAAGUAACUAUGCACGUCUUGACGGUACCUAAUCAGAAAGCCACGGCUAACUACGUGCCAGCAGCCGCGGUAAUACGUAGGUGGCAAGCGUUAUCCGGAAUUAUUGGGCGUAAAGCGCGCGUAGGCGGUUUUUUAAGUCUGAUGUGAAAGCCCACGGCUCAACCGUGGAGGGUCAUUGGAAACUGGAAAACUUGAGUGCAGAAGAGGAAAGUGGAAUUCCAUGGGUAGCGGUGAAAUGCGCAGAGAUAUGGAGGAACACCAGUGGCGAAGGCGACUUUCUGGUCUGUAACUGACGCUGAUGUGCGAAAGCGUGGGGAUCAAACAGG
rnacentral:rRNA from 1 species